rnacentral:rRNA from 1 species
UACGUAGGGUGCAAGCGUUUAAUCGGAAUUACUGGGCGUAAAGCGUGCGCAGGCGGCUUUGCAAGACAGAUGUGAAAUCCCCGGGCUCAACCUGGGAACUGCAUUUGUGACUGCAUCGCUGGAGUGCGGCAGAGGGGGAUGGAAUUCCGCGUGUAGCAGUGAAAUGCGUAGAUAUGCGGAGGAACACCGAUGGCGAAGGCAAUCCCCUGGGCCUGCACUGACGCUCAUGCACGAAAGCGUGGGGAGCAAACAGG